rnacentral:rRNA from 1 species
UGGGGGAUAUUGCACAAUGGGCGAAAGCCUGAUGCAGCAAUGCCGCGUGAGGGAAGACGGUUUUCGGAUUGUAAACCUCUGUCCUUGGUGAAGGUAAUGACGGUAGCCAAGGAGGAAGCUCCGGCUAACUACGUGCCAGCAGCCGCGGUAAUACGUAGGGAGCAAGCGUUGUCCGGAUUUACUGGGUGUAAAGGGUGCGUAGGCGGCUUUUUAAGUCGGGCGUGAAAGCUGUGGGCUUAACCCACAAAUUGCGUUCGAAACUGGAAAGCUUGAGUGAAGUAGAGGUAGGCGGAAUUCCCGGUGUAGCGGUGAAAUGCGUAGAGAUCGGGAGGAACACCAGUGGCGAAGGCGGCCUACUGGGCUUUAACUGACGCUGAGGCACGAAAGCAUGGGUAGCAAACAGGAUUAGAUACCCUGGUAGUCCAUGCCGUAAACGAUGAUUACUAGGUGUGGGGGGUCUGACCCCUUCCGUGCCGGAGUUAACACAAUAAGUAAUCCACCUGGGGGAGUACGGCCGCAAGGUUGAAACUCU